rnacentral:rRNA from 1 species
AUUGAACGCUGGCGGCAGGCCUAACACAUGCAAGUCGAGCGAGUGGCGGACGGGUGAGUAAUGUAUGGGGAUCUGCCUGAUAGAGGGGGAUAACUACUGGAAACGGUGGCUAAUACCGCAUACUAUCGGAUGAACCCAUAUGGGAUUAGCUAGUAGGUGGGGUAAAGGCUCACCUAGGCGACGAUCCCUAGCUGGUCUGAGAGGAUGACCAGCCACACUGGGACGGAGACACGGUCCAGACUCCUACGGGAGGCAGCAGUGGGGAAUAUUGCACAAUGGGCGCAAGCCUGAUGCAGCCAUGCCGCGUGUAUGAAGAAGGCCUUCGGGUUGUAAAGUACUUUCAGCGGGGAGGCGUUACCCGGAGAAGAAGCACCUCCUAACUCCGUGCCAGCCGCCGCGUUAAUAC